AACGAACGCUGGCGGCGUGCCUAACACAUGCAAGUCGAGGGAGAAAAGGGGUUUCGGCUCCUGAGUAAACCGGCGCACGGGUGAGUAACACGUAGGUAACGUACCCUGGAGUCCGGGAUAACCAGUCGAAAGACUGGCUAAUACCGGAUACGACUUCGACGACUCCGGUCGUCGUAGUGAAAGAUGGCCUCUAUUUAUAAGCUAUCACUCCUGGAUCGGCCUGCGCACCAUUAGCUAGUUGGUGAGGUAAUGGCCCACCAAGGCUGAGAUGGUUAGCUGGUCUGAGAGGAUGGCCAGCCACACUGGGACUGAGACACGGCCCAGACUCCUACGGGAGGCAGCAGUGGGGAAUAUUGCGCAAUGGGCGAAAGCCUGACGCAGCGACGCCGCGUGGGUGAUGAAGGCCUUCGGGUCGUAAAGCCCUGUCGGGGGGGAAGAAAGAGCUCGGGCCUAAUAUGCCCGGGAAUUGACGGUACCUCCUAAGGAAGCACCGGCUAACUCCGUGCCAGCCGCCGCCGUAAGAC
rnacentral:rRNA from 1 species